UGCGGCCAGAGGGACAAAAAGCAUCAGUGGGGGCCGUGCGCCUUAAAGGGCCACGCGCUUCUUUUUUCAGCCUGCUUCCCGCCUUUGGAAAUGGCUCUGUGCUGAAGGCCUCCAUCCCUCAGGUGUGUGCUCGCUGCCCUGAGGAAUGAAGGAACGAAAGCACUGAAAAUUCAUGCUUAACCCACAAUAUUGUGAGGAGACUGAGCUAAUCCGUAAGGUUCCACUGAGACGAAAACUGAUCCAACCCUGCACAUUUGAUCCAAGGGACGUUAAUGUUUGCAGAAAAGCUCCUACUAACUUCAGCACAUGUUGGAUCUGCUCUUUAGGCCACUGCAAACAAGCAAAUGCUUACUUUUGCAAUGACCUGUCAUCCUGACCGUACUGAAUAAUGCUUACUCAAUCAAGGAAAUUCUGCCACUACGUUAAAGAAAAUCGUGAGUGAAGAUGACUCCCUUUUGCAAUAAGAGCGUUUAUCCCCUUACGUUCAACACCCUUCUGUCUUCCACUGGGACAACUGGAGUUUCAUUUAAUUGCAGUCACUUAAUAUACACUCUUAUGCAAUGCUGUAUUUGAACACUAUUGUUUCUUUAUCCUAAACAUGACUAUAAUAGAAUAAACUCACUUUUUGUAACGUAUUAUGACAUUCACUCUGACAAUAGCAGCUCCUGGUAUAAUAGGAUUUGCCCCAAGUCUGCUGAUAGAUGAAGUCUCUGAGAGCCAGUGGUGGCUGAU